rnacentral:rRNA from 1 species
UGUGGCGAUCAUACCAGCACUAAUGCACCGGAUCCCAUCAGAACUCCGCAGUUAAGCGUGCUUGGGCGAGAGUAGUACUAGGAUGGGUGACCCCCUGGGAAGUCCUCGUGUUGCAACCCC